rnacentral:rRNA from 1 species
UAAGUUAGAAGGGCGCACGGUGGAUGCCUUGACACUAGGAGUCGAUGAAGGACGGGACUAACGCCGAUAUGCUUCGGGGAGCUGUAAGUAAGCUUUGAUCCGAAGAUUUCCGAAUGGGGAAACCCACCAUACGUAAUGGUAUGGUAUCCUUAUCUGAAUACAUAGGGUAAGGAAGACAGACCCAGGGAACUGAAACAUCUAAGUACCUGGAGGAAGAGAAAGCAAAUGCGAUUUCCUGAGUAGCGGCGAGCGAAACGGAACAUAGCCCAAACCAAGAGGCUUGCCUCUUGGGGUUGUAGGACAUUCUAUACGGAGUUACAAAGGAACGAGGUAGACGAAGCGACCUGGAAAGGUCCGUCGUAGAGGGUAACAACCCCGUAGUCGAAACUUCGUUCUCUCUUGAAUGUAUCCUGAGUACGGCGGAACACGUGAAAUUCCGUCGGAAUCUGGGAGGACCAUCUCCCAAGGCUAAAUACUCCCUAGUGAUCGAUAGUGAACCAGUACCGUGAGGGAAAGGUGAAAAGCACCCCGGAAGGGGAGUGAAAGAGAUCCUGAAACCGUGUGCCUACAAAUAGUCAGAGCCCGUUAAUGGGUGAUGGUGUGCCUUUUGUAGAAUGAACCGGCGAGUUACGAUCCCGUGCGAGGUUAAGCUGAAGAGGCGGAGCCGCAGCGAAAGCGAGUCUGAAUAGGGCGUUUAGUACGUGGUCGUAGACCCGAAACCAGGUGAUCUACCCAUGUCCAGGGUGAAGUUCAGGUAACACUGAAUGGAGGCCCGAACCCACGCACGUUGAAAAGUGCGGGGAUGAGGUGUGGGUAGCGGAGAAAUUCCAAUCGAACCUGGAGAUAGCUGGUUCUCCCCGAAAUAGCUUUAGGGCUAGCCUUAAGUGUAAGAGUCUUGGAGGUAGAGCACUGAUUGGACUAGGGGUCCUCAUCGGAUUACCGAAUUCAGUCAAACUCCGAAUGCCAAUGACUUAUCCUUAGGAGUCAGACUGCGAGUGAUAAGAUCCGUAGUCAAAAGGGAAACAGCCCAGACCGCCAGCUAAGGUCCCAAAGUGUGUAUUAAGUGGAAAAGGAUGUGGAGUUGCUUAGACAACUAGGAUGUUGGCUUAGAAGCAGCCACCAUUUAAAGAGUGCGUAAUAGCUCACUAGUCGAGUGACUCUGCGCCGAAAAUGUACCGGGGCUAAAUACACCACCGAAGCUGCGGAUUGAUACCAAUGGUAUCAGUGGUAGGGGAGCGUUCUAAGGACAGUGAAGUCAGACCGGAAGGACUGGUGGAGUGCUUAGAAGUGAGAAUGCCGGUAUGAGUAGCGAAAGACGGGUGAGAAUCCCGUCCACCGAAUGCCUAAGGUUUCCUGAGGAAGGCUCGUCCGCUCAGGGUUAGUCAGGACCUAAGCCGAGGCCGACAGGCGUAGGCGAUGGACAACAGGUUGAUAUUCCUGUACCACCUCUUUAUCGUUUGAGCAAUGGAGGGACGCAGAAGGAUAGAAGAAGCGUGCGAUUGGUUGUGCACGUCCAAGCAGUUAGGCUGAUAAGUAGGCAAAUCCGCUUAUCGUGAAGGCUGAGCUGUGAUGGGGAAGCUCCUUAUGGAGCGAAGUCUUUGAUUCCCCGCUGCCAAGAAAAGCUUCUAGCGAGAUAAAAGGUGCCUGUACCGCAAACCGACACAGGUAGGCGAGGAGAGAAUCCUAAGGUGUGCGAGAGAACUCUGGUUAAGGAACUCGGACAAAAUGACCCCGUAACUUCGGGAGAAGGGGUGCUUUCUUAACGGAAAGCCGCAGUGAAUAGGCCCAAGCGACUGUUUAGCAAAAACACAGCUCUCUGCGAAGCCGUAAGGCGAAGUAUAGGGGGUGACACCUGCCCGGUGCUGGAAGGUUAAGGAGAGGGGUUAGCGUAAGCGAAGCUCUGAACUGAAGCCCCAGUAAACGGCGGCCGUAACUAUAACGGUCCUAAGGUAGCGAAAUUCCUUGUCGGGUAAGUUCCGACCCGCACGAAAGGUGUAACGAUUUGGGCACUGUCUCAACCAGAGACUCGGUGAAAUUAUAGUACCUGUGAAGAUGCAGGUUACCCGCGACAGGACGGAAAGACCCCGUGGAGCUUUACUGUAGCCUGAUAUUGAAUUUUGGUACAGUUUGUACAGGAUAGGCGGGAGCCUUUGAAACCGGAGCGCUAGCUUCGGUGGAGGCGCUGGUGGGAUACCGCCCUGACUGUAUUGAAAUUCUAACCUACGGGUCUUAUCGACCCGGGAGACAGUGUCAGGUGGGCAGUUUGACUGGGGCGGUCGCCUCCUAAAGUGUAACGGAGGCGCCCAAAGGUUCCCUCAGAAUGGUUGGAAAUCAUUCGUAGAGUGCAAAGGCAUAAGGGAGCUUGACUGCGAGACCUACAAGUCGAGCAGGGACGAAAGUCGGGCUUAGUGAUCCGGUGGUUCCGCAUGGAAGGGCCAUCGCUCAACGGAUAAAAGCUACCCCGGGGAUAACAGGCUUAUCUCCCCCAAGAGUCCACAUCGACGGGGAGGUUUGGCACCUCGAUGUCGGCUCAUCGCAUCCUGGGGCUGUAGUCGGUCCCAAGGGUUGGGCUGUUCGCCCAUUAAAGCGGUACGCGAGCUGGGUUCAGAACGUCGUGAGACAGUUCGGUCCCUAUCCGUCGUGGGCGUAGGAAAUUUGAGAGGAGCUGUCCUUAGUACGAGAGGACCGGGAUGGACGCACCGCUGGUGUACCAGUUGUUCUGCCAAGGGCAUAGCUGGGUAGCUAUGUGCGGAAGGGAUAAGUGCUGAAAGCAUCUAAGCAUGAAGCCCCCCUCAAGAUGAGAUUUCCCAUAGCGUAAGCUAGUAAGAUCCCUGAAAGAUGAUCAGGUUGAUAGGUUCGAGGUGGAAGCAUGGUGACAUGUGGAGCUGACGAAUACUAAUAGAUCGAGGACUUAACCA